UGGCAGGAAUGUUCUUGCUGAUGCAACUCUUACCUCUCGCAUAUCGAUCCAGAAAUUUUGUUGUGUAGUCUCACAGUUUAGCAAUUUCAAACGCGGGCAUACAGUUUAGCAAUUUCAAACGCGAACAAGAAAUAAAUGAUGCCUUUGGUCUGCCCCAAGGUAGUAGGAUUACUCCCCCAGGACAUACAGACUUAUCGGAAGUAUGCAUAGAGUUCAACAGACAGGCCUCAAGCAUUAGUACAAAAGGGGUACACAACCUGAAGGCCGCUGAAUUCAUAGUAUCGAAGCCAUUAGACGAGAAUUCAAGCAGAGUCAAUUGCGAAUGCUUCAAGGUAGUAGGAUUAUUCCCCCAGGGCAUUUUUCAAAUGUGCGGAAUCAAUGUACUCUAGCUUGCCUUGCAAUUCUAUUGGAUGGACUAGAGCAUACCCCACGGUAAUGACUGAAAAGUUCUCAAGGUAAUAUCAAGACCCCCCAUUUUGAUCUUGUGAUUUAACCAAGCUUCAUAAAACAAGAAGGAAUAUACUUACGUUAGCUUGCUCGCUCUGCAGUGAGCAGUCAGGCAUUUGUUCGAUUUACAUCAGAGGAAAUACGACGGCGACAAUCUUCAGAGCCCGACCACAAAGAUUUGUUUGGUUGGCAAGACCAUCUCUGGAAAAUUACAUGACAGAGCAAGCGCCAGACUCCUCAUAGACGACCACUUGUGGCCCCGGCGGGCAGUGGUAGUGGUAGCAACCAGGAUAACACUGUGGGGCAGAAUCAUGGCGCGUCCAAGCUUCUUGUGGAGGCGGUUGACGAGGCAGACCACAUCGAUGCCAUCACCGACCACCUCAAGUCGAUACAUCCGUUUGAGCGAGAAGCAAUUCUGG